GAUGAACGCUGGCGGCGUGCCUAAUAUAUGCAAGUCGAGCGAACAGACGAGGAGCUUGCUCCUCUGACGUUAGCGGCGGACGGGUGAGUAACACGUGGAUAACCUACCUAUAAGACUGGGAUAACUUCGGGAAACCGGAGCUAAUACCGGAUAACAUGUUGAACCGCAUGGUUCAACAGUGAAAGACGGUUUUGCUGUCACUUAUAGAUGGAUCCGCGUCGCAUUAGCUAGUUGGUAAGGUAACGGCUUACCAAGGCAACGAUGCGUAGCCGACCUGAGAGGGUGAUCGGCCACACUGGAACUGAGACACGGUCCAGACUCCGACGGGAGGCAGCAGUAGGGAAUCUUCCGCAAUGGGCGAAAGCCUGACGGAGCAACGCCGCGUGAGUGAAGAAGGUCUUCGGAUCGUAAAACUCUGUUAUUAGGGAAGAACAAAUGUGUAAGUAACUAUGCACGUCUUGACGGUACCUAAUCAGAAAGCCACGGCUAACUACGUG
rnacentral:rRNA from 1 species